UUGGAGCCGGCGUCCUCUACCCUCAUCUCAUUCCCCGACGCCGCCCUCUCCCCCUCGGUGCUCUACUGGUCAGCGUCUUCUCCCUGCCCGACGUUUCUGGCGCCAUGGCCACCACGCCUCGGGUCGCCUGCUCCACUGCGCCGAUCCACCCAUCUCCCUGCUGUCGCUCUCCCAUGGCGCAUCGCUGCAUCUUGCUUCAGCUUGCUCUACCAUCUCCCUUGGCGCCCUAGCCCCAACGUCGAGCUCACUACCCGGCCGUGCCCCUGGUGGUUGAGCUCACCGAGCUUCCUUUUCUAUCGCUCGUCCUCGCCCAUUCGACGCCCUCAUCUCAAGCCAGUCCAGCCUCUCUACUCGCCACUCUCCCCUAUCCCCUUGCUGUUAGCACAUGGCGAGCUAACCCCAUGUGCCAGUAGAGUUCGUCAUUCCCUGAGCAGCACCUCCCUCCAUGGAUGUCUCGUUGUCGACUUGUGCAGUUCAUAUUUAUCGGGGAAAUCCAAUGAUUUGGUGGAGAAGAAGCACAGUUCAAUUUGA
rnacentral:misc_RNA from 1 species